AGGCGAUCCACGGGAGUGAAUCGCCUCGAGAAGCAGAUCGCCG
rnacentral:misc_RNA from 1 species